CGCUCCACUGAACGCAACUCUGCUGACCGUGAAACUGAAAUAACCUUAGCCAGUCAUUUUUACCGUGAUACCCCCGUCGGCGUUAAACCAAACUGAACUGCCGUUUUCCAUUCGCCAAGACGGCCGUCUCGUUGUGUUUAAGGAACUGGGUUUUGAAGCGCAGAACAAGUAUUCGUACAGGCGACGUUCAAAGACAAUCCGCUGUUGGUCAGCCAUGUGGAGUUUCAGGCCCGUAUUAACGAUGAGAAUGACAAUGCGCUCGUGUUUUUCGCCGAUAAGGUCACCGUCCAGACGCCGGAGAACUACACCGCUCCGGUCCGAUUAAUUCCAGUUUCGGCGUAUGAUAUGGAUUAUGGGCAGAAUGCGAUGAUACGCUACGACCUUGUCAACGCGUCACAAUUGCCAGUUGCGUUAGAUCCAAAAUCCGGAUGGUUGACGCUGGAAACGACGAUAGAUCGAGAGAUGGACAGCAAAAUUGUUGUGAAAGUUAUGGAAGUGGACAGCGGCGUACCGGCUCUCAUUUCGACAAUGAUUGUGGAAACUGAUGUUCUGGAUAUUAACGACGAGGACGCUAGCUCCUGUACUCCUGUAGGAGCAUUGAAAUCGUCAUGACCGAUGUCGACGACCUGCACAACUACCUUUUGAACGUGGUCCGAAAUCCUUGAAGUGCUGAAUUAUGAACGGAAUGCAAAAGAUGACCGAGUCUUUUCGGCUGCAUAUGAUUUAUCGCACCCUGCCACAAUUCUUAUUCUUGCGGUCUGUCCUGGAUUCAGUUCAUCCAGAUAGUUCAAGGAAUCAAGCGUGAAACCCCGAGAACCCAGUUCCUCCCAUAUUGCUGCAGCUUGAACAUACAAACCGGACGAACACGUUCGAGCUGUUUCACACAAAGAACUCAAAGCAGUUUUGCAAAAUAUAAUCCUCUCUUCCAUUGUCAUGCAAAAGUUCAAAUCACAUUAUUUUAUAAAUUAUUUGUUUCAGCCAAGAAAAUAAACAGCAAUAGCAACUGCUACGCAAAUAUUGCGUCACUACCCAGAAUGAUAGCAGCAGCAGUAAGUAUCUGCAGUGCUGUUUGGAUCCAGAAAGGGGCGUAGCGUAGGCGUUCCCAUUGCUUUCAACAGCACCAAUGAAACUUUCCUUGCUGCUAAUCUGACGGCGCUGCUAAUGA